GGGGGCAAGCGUUGUCCGGAAUUACUGGGCGUAAAGGGCUCGUAGGUGGCCAACUAAGUCGGACGUGAAAUCCCUCGGCUUAACCGGGGAACUGCGUCCGAUACUGGUUGGCUUGAGUUUGGGAGAGGGAUGCGGAAUUCCAGGUGUAGCGGUGAAAUGCGUAGAUAUCUGGAGGAACACCGAUGGCGAAGGCGGCAGCCUGGACCAAUACUGACGCUGAGGAGCGAAAGCCAGGGGAGCAAACGGG
rnacentral:rRNA from 1 species